rnacentral:rRNA from 1 species
UUGAACGCUGGCGGCAGGCCUAACACAUGCAAGUCGAACGGUAACAGGAAGCAGCUUGCUGCUUUGCUGACGAGUGGCGGACGGGUGAGUAAUGUCUGGGAAACUGCCUGAUGGAGGGGGAUAACUACUGGAAACGGUAGCUAAUACCGCAUAACGUCGCAAGACCAAAGAGGGGGGCCUUCGGGCCUCUUGCCAUCAGAUGUGCCCAGAUGGGAUUAGCUAGUAGGUGGGGUAACGGCUCACCUAGGCGACGAUCCCUAGCUGGUCUGAGAGGAUGACCAGCCACACUGGAACUGAGACACGGUCCAGACUCCUACGGGAGGCAGCAGUGGGGAAUAUUGCACAAUGGGCGCAAGCCUGAUGCAGCCAUGCCGCGUGUAUGAAGAAGGCCUUCGGGUUGUAAAGUACUUUCAGCGGGGAGGAAGGCGAUGUGGUUAAUAACCGCGUCGAUUGACGUUACCCGCAGAAGAAGCACCGGCUAACUCCGUGCCAGCAGCCGCGGUAAUACGGAGGGUGCAAGCGUUAAUCGGAAUUACUGGGCGUAAAGCGCACGCAGGCGGUCUGUCAAGUCGGAUGUGAAAUCCCCGGGCUCAACCUGGGAACUGCAUCCGAAACUGGCAGGCUUGAGUCUCGUAGAGGGGGGUAGAAUUCCAGGUGUAGCGGUGAAAUGCGUAGAGAUCUGGAGGAAUACCGGUGGCGAAGGCGGCCCCCUGGACGAAGACUGACGCUCAGGUGCGAAAGCGUGGGGAGCAAACAGGAUUAGAUACCCUGGUAGUCCACGCCGUAAACGAUGUCGACUUGGAGGUUGUGCCCUUGAGGCGUGGCUUCCGGAGCUAACGCGUUAAGUCGACCGCCUGGGGAGUACGGCCGCAAGGUUAAAACUCAAAUGAAUUGACGGGGGCCCGCACAAGCGGUGGAGCAUGUGGUUUAAUUCGAUGCAACGCGAAGAACCUUACCUGGUCUUGACAUCCACAGAACUUUCCAGAGAUGGAAAGGUGCCUUCGGGAACUGUGAGACAGGUGCUGCAUGGCUGUCGUCAGCUCGUGUUGUGAAAUGUUGGGUUAAGUCCCGCAACGAGCGCAACCCUUAUCCUUUGUUGCCAGCGGUUAGGCCGGGAACUCAAAGGAGACUGCCAGUGAUAAACUGGAGGAAGGUGGGGAUGACGUCAAGUCAUCAUGGCCCUUACGACCAGGGCUACACACGUGCUACAAUGGCGCAUACAAAGAGAAGCGAUCUCGCGAGAGCCAGCGGACCUCAUAAAGUGCGUCGUAGUCCGGAUUGGAGUCUGCAACUCGACUCCAUGAAGUCGGAAUCGCUAGUAAUCGUGAAUCAGAAUGUCACGGUGAAUACGUUCCCGGGCCUUGUACACACCGCCCGUCACACCAUGGGAGUGGGUUGCAAAAGAAGUAGGUAGCUUAACCUUCGGGAGGGCGCUUACCACUUUGUGAUUCAUGACUGGGGUG